UUCUUUUUAGAGUUUUGACUAGUUUUUGCUCAAAAAGCUGAAAUUUUAUUUUUCAGCUUUUGUACAGUCUUAGAAUACUGCGAUGGUCAUGAUUUAGAUUUCUACCUCAAACAACAUAAAAAUAUUCCUGAAAGAGAAGCCAGGUGUAUUAUUAUGCAAGUCGUUCAUGCCUUAAAGUACCUGAAUGAAAUCAAACCACCUAUUAUACAUUAUGAUCUCAAACCUGGAAACAUUUUACUAGGCAGUGGGGAAAUUAAAAUAACAGAUUUCGGAUUGAG